GUAGGCUGCAACUCGCCUACAUGAGGUCGGAAUCGCUAGUAAUCGCGGAUCAGCAUGCCGCGGUGAAUACGUUCCCGGGCCUUGUACACACCGCCCGUCACACCAUGAGAGUUUGUAACACCCAAAGCCGGUGGGGUAACCUUUUGGAGCCAGCCGUCUAAGGUGGGACAGAUGAUUGGGGUGAAGUCGUAACAAGGUAUC
rnacentral:rRNA from 1 species